rnacentral:rRNA from 1 species
CCUAUGGGAGGCAGCAGUGGGGAAUAUUGGGCAAUGGGCGCAAGCCUGACCCAGCAACGCCGCGUGAAGGAAGAAGGCUUUCGGGUUGUAAACUUCUUUUCUGAGGGACGAAGAAAGUGACGGUACCUCAGGAAUAAGCCACGGCUAACUACGUGCCCGCAGCCGUGGUAAUACGUAGGGGGCAAGCGUUAUCCGGAUUUAUUGGGUGUAAAGGGCGUGUAGGCGGGAAAGCAAGGCAGAUGUGAAAACUCAGGGCUCAACCCUGAGCCUGCAUUUGAAACUGUUUUUCUUGAGUGCUGGGAAGGCAAGCGGAAUUCCGUGUGUAGCGGUGAAAUGCGUAGAUAUACGGAGGAACACCAGUGGCGAAGGCGGAUUGCUGGACAGUAACUGACGCUGAGGCGCGAAAGCGUGGGGAGCAAACAGGAUUAGAUACCCGGGUAGUC